rnacentral:tRNA from 1 species
GCACUCGUAGCUCAGCUGGAUAGAGCGCUGCCCUCCGAAGGCAGAGGUCGUGAGUUCGAAUCUCGCCGGGUGCGCCA